rnacentral:lncRNA from 1 species
AUUUGGAAACAAAUACAGCAUUUUCAAGACUUUGUGUUUUACUGCCAAUACCUGCAGGCUAAAACCAGUCUUCUAUAAUGGAAUACCAAGCUAUGACUUUUGAGUUUCUCAGCGCUUCUUCCUCAGUGAUUAUACAUGAACAGAAAGUCUGGGGACGGUUACCAUGUAUUUUCUCACGUUGACACAUCAUCUCCAACCUUUGACUCGCUGAA